GCUGUGGCAGCUCAGUGGUUAUAGCUUCAAAUUAUAGAUAAGAAAGUCAUGUGUUCAAAUCCCAGCCUCACCA